GACGUAGGGCGCGAGCGUUGUCCGGAUUUAUUGGGCGUAAAGAGCUCGUAGGCGGCUUGUUGCGUCAGCUGUGAAAACCCGCAGCUCAACUGUGGGCUUGCAGCUGAUACGGGCAGGCUUGAGUUCGGCAGGGGAGACUGGAAUUCCUGGUGUAGCGGUGAAAUGCGCAGAUAUCAGGAGGAACACCGAUGGCGAAGGCAGGUCUCUGGGCCGAUACUGACGCUGAGGAGCGAAAGCGUGGGGGAGCGAACAGG
rnacentral:rRNA from 1 species